GCAGGCUGUUCAUUGUCAGAGCCUGUCAGAGCUUCCCUGUCAAAAAACAUCGUCGCCAUCACAAUACUCAGCCCCACAGCCCGCGCUGGCAUUUUCGACACUAGAUCACGGGCUGGCGGGUGACACAGGCAGCCAGACGAGGCACGAAAGCAACAAACGCAUCAGCAUUAACACUGAGGGAAACACUAUUGUGCUUUUUCCUAAAGCUAAAGAUGUUUUUCUUAUUCUUCUUUUCAACAGCAACCACAAUGUGCCUGAGAAAACCUGACCUUACUGACCUCUUUCAUGCGAUCUUAAAGACUCAUCUUUGACAUGAGCUGACCUUUUACACGCAAGAGAGGGAUGGAGCCACAACAGAGGGAAUUGAGACGGACUGGAAUAUUAAUCAAGAUACAGUUCAGUCAGACAAAUCACAGUAUCGUGUUUGGCAUCCAGGCUUUACUCUCAUCACACCUGGCAGCUUUAUCACGAUAUUAAAAAUAUUUUUUGUAUAUCCAUCCAUCCAUUUUAUACCGCUUAUUCCCGUUCCCAGGUCACGGGGGGACUGGAGCCGAUCCCAGCAUCUUCGGGCGAAAGCAGGGGACACCCUGGACAAGUCGCCAGUUCAUCGCAGGGCUGACAU